rnacentral:rRNA from 1 species
GAUGAACGCUGGCGGCGUGCCUAACACAUGCAAGUCGAGCGUGAUUUAUGAGGACGAAACUUCGGUCUAGGAAUCAUAAUGAAAGCGGCGGACGGGUGAGUAACGCGUAGGCAACCUGCCCUUAACACAGGGAUAGCCUCGGGAAACCGGGAUUAAAACCUGAUGAUGCCAAAGAGUCACAUGGCUCGUUGGCCAAAGAUUUAUCGGUUAAGGAUGGGCCUGCGUCUGAUUAGUUUGUUGGUGGGGUAACGGCCUACCAAGACUACGAUCAGUAGCCGACCUGAGAGGGUGAUCGGCCAGAUUGGAACUGAGACACGGUCCAAACUCCUAAAGGAGGCAGCAGAGGGGAAUAUUGCACAGUGGACGAAAGUCUGAUGCAGCACCGCCGCGUGGAGGAUGACACAUUUCGGUGCGUAAACUCCUUAUAUAAGAGAAGAUAAUGACGGUAUUAUAUGAAUAAGCACCGGCUAACACCGUGCCAGCCGCCGCGGUAAAAC